CAUUCUGCCAGUGGGUCUCCUCCUACCUUAUUCUCAGUCCUUUAGGUUAGGGUAUGGAAACACUCCUGUCCUUUAGGAAACACUCCUAACCUAGUCCUUUAGGUCAGGGUAUGGAAACACUCCUGUCCUUUAGGAAACACUCCUAACCUAGUCCUUUAGGUUAGGGUAUGGAAACACUCCUGUCCUUUAGGAAACACUCCUAACCUAGUCCUUUAGGUUAGGGUAUGGAAACACUCCUGUCCUUUAGGAAACACUCCUGUCCUUCAGGAAACACUCCUAACCUAGUCCUUUAGGUUAGGGUAUGGAAACACUCCUGUCCUUCAGGAAACACUCCUAACCUAGUCCUUUAGGUUAGGGUAUGGAAACACUCCUGUCCUUCAGGAAACACUCCUAACCUAGUCCUUUAGGUUUCUCUAACCACCUACCACCAGGUGCCAUUCAUUCCAGAUGAAGAAACUUUAACAAGAAAACAGCUGGCAGGCUCUCUCAGCACCACAACCAUCUUCAGUCCUGUUUGGUUGUG